CACGUAAGGAGCGAGCGUUGUUCGGAAUUAUUGGGCGUAAAGGGCAUGUAGGCGGUUUUGUAAGUCUGAUGUGAAAGCGUGCAGCUUAACUGCAUUGUUGCGUUGGAAACUGCGAAACUAGAAUUCGAGAGGGGUAUGUGGAAUUCCUUGUGUAGGGGUGAAAUCUGUUGAUAUAAGGAAGAACACCAGAGGCGAAGGCGACAUACUGGCUCUGAAUUGACGCUGAGGUGCGAAAGCGUAGGUAGCGAACAGG
rnacentral:rRNA from 1 species